ACUCAAAGGAAUUGACGGGGACCCGCACAAGCGGUGGAGCAUGGGGUUUAAUUCGACGAUACGCGAAGAACCUUACCGAGGCUUGACAUCCCUGGAAUCCGGUGGAAACACUGGAGUGCCUUCGGGAAUCAGGUGACAGGUGCUGCAUGGCCGUCGUCAGCUCGUGUCGUGAGAUGUUGGGUUAAGUCCCGCAACGAGCGCAACCCUUGUCGUGUGUUAAAUUUUUCACACGAGACUGCCCGGGCCAACCGGGAGGAAGGUGGGGAUGACGUCAGGUCAGCAUGGCCCUUACGCCUCGGGCCACACCCGUGCUACAAUGGCCGGUACAACGCGUUGCCAAAUCGCAAGAUGGAGCUAAUCGCAUCAAAACCGGUCCCAGUUCGGAUUGCAGGCUGCAACUCGCCUGCAUGAAGUUGGAAUCGCUAGUAAACGUGGGUCAGCAUACCACGUUGAAUACGUUCCCGGGUCUUGUACACACCGCCCGU
rnacentral:rRNA from 1 species